CCGUGCCUACUGGUCGGGGUUCGAACCGGCAACACUCCGGUUACAAGUCCGAUGCACUAACCAGUAGUCCACGGCUGCCCCAACAUAGUCUAUUUGAUGACCACAUCAAACAUGACGUAGGCUUAAAAGUAGAGGUAGCACAGGAUUGUAAAGGAUAUAAAAAGGGAAUUCAUGUUUUAUUUCAUACAGCCUGGUAUUAUCCCAGAAAUGUGAUUUACUUUUGAAGUUGAAAAUCUUUAGUUGAACUGUAAACUUCAUAGUAAACCUCAUAAUUAUGAAGACCUCAGUCUGACUAUAAACAAAUUGCAGUCAAUCAUCAUCUUUACUUAUUAACUGUAAACUUUAAAGUCUGCAUCAGACAUGCAACCAUGAAGUUCAUAGUAAUGGGAGAGUUCAUAGUCAAGUUAUGAUAUAUUCAUGGUCGAACUGUAAAGGCAAUAGUAGAACUAUAACAAAUUUAAGUUGAACUGUAAAUUUCAAUGUUUUACUGUGAAAUUUUACAGUUAAUUUUUUCCUGGGCAGACCAGCAUUGAUCAACGUUGUCUUUGAGGGCUGCGUUUCACGAACCUGAGCUGAUCGAAAUGUCCUCCUGGGUUGCGAGAGAUGAUGACACACUACCACUAAGCAAACAUCUCAGAAGAUCCUUUCAAGGUGACGGACAGCUCCACCAACCAGGCCAUGCCACUGGACGAGGUUGAUGGACCAGACAACUCCGCCCUGGGCUUAGGUACAGCCCAGAGCAGCAGCAGUGACCAGGCCAUGUCAUGUCAUUGGAUGAGAUGAGACUGGACGACGCUCAGGAACCACAGGUCCAACGGAACCUGACUCUGGAAGCAACAAAACUGGACUGACUGGAAGCAACGAAAGGGGGUGCCGAAAGCAGCCUCGCACUCCUGCAUCAUCAAAGACACUCAUGGAUAUUGUUCACUGCCUGCAAUACAUGUGGACAUAUUUGGACAGACACAAGGGUGCACGCCGAAUGCGGCAGGCCAUGCAAACCUUUUGCACUCGCAUUACACUUACACUGAAACAAUGCAGACACAUUCACGUCUCACUGAUUUGCCCUACAUGAAGAGGACCCUUCUCCAACGGAGGAGAAAUGCAACAAUGGGUGUAUGCUGAAGGCUGCAUUUCCUUGCUCACGCACACACUUACAUUGAUUAUGGACUGAUUAUGGACUUUAUAAAAAAUGUUUUUAAAAAAUGUGAAAUUGUUCAAGAAUGCUCAUGUUUAUGGAAUCUUAUGUUAAAAUUCAAAUCAUUCAGACUUGAAAAGGGGGUAUUGAUAGCAAUAAUUUUAGGGUUUCAAGACUAGUUUUGGUUAGCCAUGUGGCCCCUCUUGGCAUUAAACAACGACACCCUCCCCUCCCCCAAUGAAAUGCUAAUGUACUGGUUCCAAGGGCUAUCAGAUCCACAAGACAAAGGAUGUUACCUUGCUAUAAUGUAUCCAUGUGUCAUGAAAUGUAAAUAUAUUCAUGUUUGGUAUCAUUGUAAUAGUCUCAGUACAGGGAUUGUAAUGAUUUAAUUGUAAGAAUGUUUGGAACGUGCUAUAAGUGAUUUUUCUGAUGUAUAGGAUAUCUCUCCUCAUGCUGAUCAGAUAAGAAUUGGUAGGUGUAAAGUAGGUGUGAGUAGGUGUGUCUGAUGCCAUCUGGAGAACCAACCACGUGGGCUUGUUUUGCCGCCAAACUUCUUUCUUUGUUUAACCCAUACAAAAGUGACUAACUUGCAUAGUUAGUUAGAAGAACUAGAACUAGAUGGAGAACUGAAGAAGAGAGAGAGAGAGGAUGAUCCAACAGAGGCCAUGGCCUCUGUGCCAUGGCCUACACAGACCAUAGACCAUUUUUACCCUCUCUGCUUGUAACAGAAUAAACCUGAUUCCUGAGUUUUCCUGAA